AGUCUAAUGAUAGCGACAGUAACACCAGACAGUGACUGUAACUUUAGACAAUGUCUUGUUUGAGUGAGUGACGUUUGCCACAGCUUAUCCAUUAUAUUGAGCAGAUACCCAAUUAAAAGAAAUGUCUUAAAAAUGGAAGGCAAGAUCAAGUUGGCCUAUUCUAGCCAAUGAGAGGGCAGAUGCCUGUAUGAACAACAGGCACAACUCCAAUAUAACAUAUUUUUUCUCUACGUUUCCGGGAUGUCAUGUAUCCUACUUAUAUCAGUCCACUCGUAAACCUAAGCAUUAUAAAAUAUAUAUUCUAUGAAAUAAGCCAUUGCAUUUUAUGUUUAUCAAAUUCUACAAGUGGUGAAAGAAACACACAGCUAUUUAGGUGAGGUGCUGGCUAGCGGAGUAGAACACUAGAAACACACAGCUAUUUAGGUGAGGUGCUGACUAGCGGAGUAGAACACUAGAAACACACAGCUAUUUAGGUGAGGUGCUGGCUAGCGGAGUAGAACACUAGAAACACACAGCUAUUUAGGUGAGGUGCUGGCUAGCGGAGUAGAACACUAGAAACACACAGCUAUUUAGGUGAGGUGCUGGCUAGCGGAGUAGAACACUGGAAACACACAGCUAUUUAGGCGAGUUGCUGGCUAGCGGAGUAGAACACUGGAAACACACAGCUAUUUAGGCGAGAUGCUGGCUAGCGGAGAAGAACACUUGAAACACACAGCUAUUUAGGCGAGGUGCUGGCUAGCGGAGUAGAACACUAGAAACACACAGCUAUUUAGGUGAGGUGCUGGCUAGCGGAGUAGAACACUAGAAACACACAGCUAUUUAGGUGAGGUGCUGGCUAGCGGAGUAGAACACUAGAAACACACAGCUAUUUAGGCGAGGUGCUGGCUAGCGGAGUAGAACACUAGAAACACACAGCUAUUUAGGUGAGGUGCUGGCUAGCGGAGUAGAACACUAGAAACACACAGCUAUUUAGGUGAGGUGCUGGCUAGCAGAGUAGAACACUAGAAACACACAGCUAUUUAGGCGAGGUGCUGGCUAGCAGAGUAGAACACUUGAAACAUUUAAAGGAGAGCCCACACUCUAGGAGGAUCCAAUAAUUUAAUAACCUAAAUCCAAUGUUUCAACAGACAAGCUGUCUUCAUCAGGGUAAGAUUCUAUCAGAUUCUACACUCAUUGACCUACAUAGAAAACCUCCUUGCUUAGUGAGUGACAAAUCAAAUCAAAACGGCACCUGCUGGAGAAGACAGAUUUUGGGCCCAGUUGUCCCUCUCGCUUUGCC